GACGAACGCUGGCGGCGUGCUUAACACAUGCAAGUCGAACGGAAAGGCCCUGCUUUUGUGGGGUGCUCGAGUGGCGAACGGGUGAGUAACACGUGAGUAACCUGCCCUUGACUUUGGGAUAACUUCAGGAAACUGGGGCUAAUACCGGAUAGGAGCUCCCGCUGCAUGGUGGGGGUUGGAAGGUUUCGGCGGUUGGGGAUGGACUCGCGGCUUAUCAGCGUGUUGGUGGGGUAGUGGCUUACCAGGGCUUUGACGGGUAGCCGGCCUGAGAGGGUGACCGGCCACAGUGGGACUGAGAUACGGCCCAGACUCCUACGGGAGGCAGCAGUGGGGAAUAGUGCACGAUGGGCGGAAGCCUGAUGCAGCAACGCCGCGUGCGGGAUGACGGCCUUCGGGUUGUAAACCGCUUUCGCCUGUGACGAAGCGUGAGUGGCGGUAAUGGGUAAAGAAGCACCGGCUAACUAGGUG
rnacentral:rRNA from 1 species